rnacentral:rRNA from 1 species
UACGGAGGAUGCAAGCGUUAUCCGGAUUCAUUGGGUUUAAAGGGUGCGCAGGCGGAAUGAUAAGUCAGUGGUGAAAUCCUACGGCUCAGCUGUAGAACUGCCAUUGAUACUGUCAUUCUUGAGUACACUUGAAGUGGGCGGAAUGUGUCAUGUAGCGGUGAAAUGCUUGGAUAUGACACAGAACACCGAUCGCGAAGGCAGCUCACUAAAUUGUAACUGACGCUCAUGCACGAAAGCGUGGGGAUCAAACAGGAUUAGAUACCCUGGUAGUCCACGCUGUAAACGAUGAUUACUCGAUGUUGGCGAUAUACUGUCAGCGUCUAAGCGAAAGCAUUAAGUAAUCCACCUGGGGAGUACGGCCGCAAGGUUGAA